rnacentral:rRNA from 1 species
UACAGAGGGGGCAAGCGUUGUUCGGAAUUACUGGGCGUAAAGGGCGCGUAGGCGGCCUUCUAAGUCGAACGUGAAAUCCCCGGGCUCAACCCGGGAACUGCGUCCGAUACUGGAAGGCUUGAAUCCGGGAGAGGGAUGCGGAAUUCCAGGUGUAGCGGUGAGAUGCGUAGAUAUCUGGAGGAACACCGGUGGCGAAGGCGGCAUCCUGGACCGGCAUUGACGCUGAGGCGCGAAAGCCAGGGGAGCAAACGGG